ensembl:lncRNA
UCCCCCUGCCUGGUCUUUCACACCACCCUUGAGUUAAUAAUCUCUAAAAUUGGGCAGUGGGUAGCAACUCAGUCCCUGGCCCCACACCCAAUACCCGAGGAUCCCUCCUGAGCCUGUCCGGGGUGCCUGGAGUGAGUCCCACUCCCACUGGGUUUUCUUCUAUUUUAAACCAUAUUAAGAACUGUCAAGAAUUCCUGGAGUAAAAUUUUCCAUUGGAGUGCUUAGGAGGCAGAGCCAGGGAUUCGGGAGUGUCAUCACCCUAAGACACCACAGCUCUCUGUCGUGGUCUGAAAAUCCCAGCCAUUGUCUUCGUCCUACACCUGCUAACCAUGUGUCUCCCGAAAGUCACUACGAUGGCGACAGUGGAAGCCAAGUUGUUGAGAGAAAGCCCUGGGAGCUCUGACUGGCAGAUUAUAGGUUAAAAAAAAAUAGGUAAUCUCUACACCCAACGUGGGGCUCGAACUUACAACCCAGAGAUCAAGAGUCAUAUGCUCUACUGACUGAGCCCACCAGGCGCCCCUUUGAGAUCCUUUUGCUCUCUUUUAGUAUGACCUGUGGAUCAGAGUAAGGCGUGGACAAGAAAAUGGUUGCCUGUCCUGGAAUGUGGUAAUAUUGCGGAAUAAUGGAAAUGUAGGUGAAACACAAGAGAUAACCUAGUAAAACUGCAUCUAAA